rnacentral:rRNA from 1 species
UGGGGAAUAUUGCACAAUGGGCGGAAGCCUGAUGCAGCGACGCCGCGUGGGGGAUGAAGGCCUUCGGGUUGUAAACUCCUUUCGACAGGGACGAAGCUUUUGUGACGGUACCUGUAUAAGAAGCACCGGCUAACUACGUGCCAGCAGCCGCGGUAAUACGUAGGGUGCGAGCGUUGUCCGGAAUUACUGGGCGUAAAGAGCUCGUAGGUGGUUUGUCGCGUCGUCUGUGAAAUUCCGGGGCUUAACUCCGGGCGUGCAGGCGAUACGGGCUGACUUGAGUGCUGUAGGGGAGACUGGAAUUCCUGGUGUAGCGGUGAAAUGCGCAGAUAUCAGGAGGAACACCGAUGGCGAAGGCAGGUCUCUGGGCAGUAACUGACGCUGAGGAGCGAAAGCAUGGGUAGCGAACGGGAUUAGAUACCCUGGUAGUCCAUGCCGUAAACGGUGGGCGCUAGGUGUAGGGGGCUUCCACGUCUUCUGUGCCGUAGCUAACGCAUUAAGCGCCCCGCCUGGGAGUACGGCCGCAAGGCUA